rnacentral:rRNA from 1 species
AUCGAACGCUGGCGGCAGGCCUAACACAUGCAAGUCGAGCGGAGCGGCGGACGGGUGAGUAAUGCCUAGGAAUCUGCCUGGUAGUGGGGGAUAACGUCCGGAAACGGGCGCUAAUACAGCAUACUAUCAGAUGAGCCUAGGUCGGAUUAGCUAGUUGGUGGGGUAAAGGCCUACCAAGGCGAAGAUCCGUAACUGGUCUGAGAGGAUGCUCAGUCACACUGGAAGUGAGACACGGUCCAGACUCCUACGGGAGGCAGCAGUGGGGAAUAUUGGACAAGGGGCGAAAGCCUGAUCCAGCCGUGCAGAGUGUGUGAAGAAGGUCUUCGGUGUGUAAAGCACUUUAAGUUGGGAGGCGUUACCAACAGAAUAAGCACCGGCUAACUUCGUGCCAGCAGCCGCGGUAAUAC